UUAUACCUAAUACAUUACAACUUUCAGCGGUGGAUGUCUAGGUUCCCACAACGAUGAAGAACGCAGCGAAAUGCGAUACGUAAUGCGAAUUGCAAGACCUCGUGAAUCAUUAAGAUUUUGAACGCACAUUGCGCUUUCGGGAUUUUCCCGGUAGCAUGCUUGUCUGAGUGUCUGUGGAU
rnacentral:rRNA from 1 species